GCCAGGUGUGGUGGCUCACACCUGUAAUCCCAGCGCUUUGGGAGGCCGAGGUGGGUGGAUCACCUGAGGUCAGGAGUUUGAGACCAGCCUGGCCAACAUGGUGAAACCCCAUCUCUA
ensembl:misc_RNA Metazoa_SRP Metazoan signal recognition particle RNA